UACGUAGGGGGCAAGCGUUGUCCGGAAUCAUUGGGCGUAAAGAGCGUGUAGGCGGCUCGGUAAGUCCGCUGUGAAAGUCCAGGGCUCAACCCUGGGAUGCCGGUCGAUACUGCCGGACUAGAGUUCGGAAGAGGCGAGUGGAAUUCCCGGUGUAGCGGUGAAAUGCGCAGAUAUCGGGAGGAACACCUAUGGCGAAGGCAGCUCGCUGGGACGUUACUGACGCUGAGACGCGAAAGCGUGGGGAGCAAACAGG
rnacentral:rRNA from 1 species